AGCAUGGCCUCCCAACUCGACAGCAUAGGAGAAAUGACUUACGAAUGCAAGGCACAAUUAUACAGGAGUCACCUUAUCAUCAAUAGGUAUCAAAUAGCACAUGAGGUAAACAAGGCAAAGAAGGCGAAAACAGACGAAGAAGCCUCCAGUAGCUAGCUUUUCUAUUCUCCCCUGCGCGGGAACUUAUCUUCUUUCAUGUUAUUUCCCCUUUUCCCUAAAAAUUGUAU
rnacentral:lncRNA from 1 species